rnacentral:lncRNA from 1 species
CUGGAUUAAGCUUGAUGCCACCCACGUCUUCAGCCAGGUCACGACCACCUGAUCUCGCAACACCCAUAAAGGAGUAUAACGCAUCAGAUAAAUUCGAAGGUAACCAUGGAGUAUAUACGAACAUGCGAUGGAUAAUCAUGUGUAUACAUACAGUGUGCGGUGUACGCGUAGCAUCCAAAAAGCACGAGGAGUAGAAUCGCGACUCUUUCACAUUCAUCUGACCGCCGUUGCACACCAUGGUUACCUAGAUUUUUCUUUGGAGACCACUAGGCAUAAGACUACAACAAGAUUACAUCCAUUAGACUACGCAUGCACCAUAGGAUGAAGGUAAUCAGGGCCAUCCGAUUUUCUAGCAGGCCUCUCGCCCUAGGUGUUCAACGAACGCUGACUAAGUGCUUCCAUGUACGUAACGACUGCUCCCUAAACGCACACCUUCCUUCAUCGGGCUUUGUUAUCGAUCGACUGUCUUUCAUAGGCUCUUUCGUGGCGCGAAUUCUUCCCUCCCGUUCUUGCAAAAAUGGCGCAUCUUAGCCGCGAAAUUGAGUAUCGUGGGAUCCCUGACGCAAACUGGCAUCGUGCUUCGUGUCCGGGCAUGAAUUCAGAAGCUGUGGGGAGUUCUGAAGAUGGGAUUAAUCCGCCUUACCAGAAUCCACCAGUAGUGAACAAUGGAGAUGAAGAGGUAAGAUGAACAUUCCAUAAAGUUUCAGUGAUUUUGGUUGUUUUCUCUCGAUAUUUGGGGUCGUUCUUAUGGAUGCUUGUUGUCGGAUGCAAGAUUAUUUCUUUCUGAACACAUAGUAUGGUAUUGUUGAUAAAGAUUUAUGAAUGAUAUGAUGAUACGUAGUUAGAAGCAUGAUGUGUUGCUUCAUGGUGCACUUUGAAUGGUUGAUGGAAGCUUACAUGUUACUGUCAUGUAGUGUCAGAUAUGUGCUAGUGUGUAGCGUCAGGGUUGGCGCAAUGCUAUUGUUUGUGCAUCAUAGGGAUAGAAGCCAUCCAAAGUAUGUUGAAUUCGCCUGCAUAAUUCAUAGGAGUAUGCAGUUUAUAUUUCCUAUAUUCCUCAAGAUUUGUAGGAUGCGAUGGUUGACUAGGGAUAGAAGCAUUCGUCAGAAUUAUAGAAUUCAGAUAUAGAUAUGGCAUAACAGAAUCUCGGAGCAUGUUCAUGGACGCAAAUGUAGAUGCUAAAUCCAUUUUUCUUUGUAGGAUGAAAUCAUGGAUGACAUCGAAGGUGACAUAUAUGCCAUUUGUUGAUGAUGCAAGUACUCCUCGACCAGCUGCGCCAUAUGUAGGUUAGGUGUUCGACACCAUCGAGGAAGCACGGAAGGUGUAUAAUUAGUAUGCAAAGAAGCUUGGUUUUCACUAGGAUUUGUUACACAAAGAGGACACAGAAGAAGGGUUGUGACCACAUAAUCAGGAGAGAGUUUGAGUGUGUUCAUGCGAGAGGGGGAAAAGGAUAGGUAGGAGGAAAAGAAGGUGGAUGUGAUCCUGAAUGGUAUGACGCAACAGAAGACGAUGGCACCGCAUCGAACAAAGAACCAGAUUUUGGUAAUAAAAAGGUUUGCUCCGCAAUGGUGCAGAAACAAGGUGAAUAGGCAUGAAUGCAGAGCACGGAUGGCAGUGGUGUUGAGGAAUGGAAAAUGAGAAGUCUCUGUUUUUAAGGAGCAACAUACACACCCAAUGAUGAGUAGGGAAGAAUGGACGAGGUUCUACAGAUCUCAUAGGAAGGUGCCAUAUGAGCACUACAUGUUUAUGAAGACACUGCAUAAUCGGAACAUACCAACUGCAUUGAUCAUGGCUACACUUGGAGACUUGCAUGGGAAACUAGGUAACCUGCCAUACACUGACAAAGAUGUUGCAAACAUUCGAACUAAGAUGAGAAAUGAGGUGUCCUUAAACGAUAUGACGAAAACGAUGGAGUAUUUUGAGAAGCUUCAUGCAGAGAGUCCACGGUUCUAUUAUGCGAAGCUAGAGGAUGAGAAUAAAGGGGGAGACUAGUAUAGGAUCAGCUCUUUAGGUGAGAUCAUAGGAUCAACCUAAACAUUUUGUAUUUAGACAAUCCAAAAAAUCUGAAAAAAUGUACAACAUACCUGAGGGGUAUGUCUACAACUCAAAAAAAAGCAGCUCAAAACUCAAUCUACAGUUAGAGAUUCGAAAAAGACAAACUCGACUAUGAAUAGUGUCAGCUUUGGGGUGAAUAGUAUUUGACACUAUUCACAUCUGAUUUUGUUUUUUUUUAUACUAAGGCUUUGUUUGGAUAGCGGAGAUUAGCGUUAGGAUUAUAGAAUACAAGUUUUUAGCUGAUUUUUAGGAAACCCCGUACGUUAUGUUUUUUUUGACGGAUGUUUUACGUUACGUUUUGUAAAUAACGAGUUUAUAAAAAGUUACGCAUGGAUAGGAAAACAGAAAAACUGGUGGGUCAUGUACCUUGUUUCGAUACCUUCGAGUGGGCUGUUUCCUUUUCUCCUCCCGUGACUCACUCUCACUUUCCCCAAAUCAGCCACCAUGGCGUCUUCCAAGUCUCUCGUCCUGCUGUCCCCUCCGAUUAAUCCUCCGCUCGCUGACACCGGUACUCCCCUGCUCUCGGCCGUGGAUGAAUCCGCGCGAGGACGCCGCCUAGUGCGCGCCUCCGGCCACGCCGGUUGCUGCUGGACCCCCCUACGCCGCUGCCCGCCCCCCCCCCUCCCCUGGACGGCUAGGUUGCUAGGCCUACUGUGCUUCGUCGGCCGUCAGCCGGCUCUAUCCGUCGAGCAGUGCUGCUUCAGCUCAACGCACAUGCCUGCCUCCCUAGAAUGCCGGCGGUGCAGGCUGCACCGUAACCAGCUCGUUUUACCACUAGAUCUGUGGGGCGCCGGCGGCAGCAGGCAGCUGUAGCCCCCGCUCCCUGACCAGCAUGACCAUUAACAGCGGAUGCAGAGGACAAGCUCGAGGACGGCGAUUCAGAGGAGCAGGUAUGUUUGAUUUUUCCUUUUGCAAACUCUGUAGUUAGCAUGGUCUGUCAUGCACUUGCCGAGAGGAGCUAUAAUUAUCUUUCUUUCAUGGUCUGUAUCAUGCGCUUGCCGACAGAAAAAUACAGUAACAGGUCUUAGCAAUUAGCUACAUAUACUGGAAUUUGUAUAAUGGAACUUUGGAGGAGAGUGCUACUGUAGAAAGCAAAGUGAGAACUGGCCAGGUUCACGGUCUUUCUAAAAACAAGAAGUUUCAGGUGCGUUUGUAGCAGUGAAAGCUGAAAAGCUUUGCACUUGGUACAUUGUAGAAUCUGGUGUGUAGGUAGGACGGGAACACUCUUAUGUUACAUAAGAACACACCCAUUUGAAGUAGUUUAUUUGUUGCUUCAUUUGCUGAAUAGAUUGGUGAAAAAUAACAUUUCAUCAUGUAGCCGUAGAUAGAGAGACGGAGAGAGAGAGAGAGAGAGAGAGUUCAUAAGCCUAUAAAAGAAUGGGGAGUUCAUGAACAUUUGAAUAAAUUUAAAGUUCUAACAAUAGUUAUUCAAAUACAUCUCUAAUUAAAGAUGAAAAUCAAAUAUUACGGCGUUUAAUCAUCUUGUUGUUGUCGGUUCACACGUCGUUGAUGAUUAGUCCACAAUUGUUGAGCGAUGCCAACACGAACUGGGAGUUGUACAUAAAUGGGAGUCUAGGAGUGAACUAAUCUUUUGUUCAAAGUGUGACUGGACACUUCAAUUUUUGUCGCAUGUUCGACUAAUGGGAUGUUCCCUGACCAGUUACUUUGCUGGGUUGCAGCCAAGAUCUCAAGCAUGAAGUUCAUUUACUAUAAAGCUGGGUUCAGUUGCCCCACUUAUUGCUGUCAACUUCACAUUGGACAUCACAAGGUAUUCUGAUCUUCAUUUGCUUACUUCGUAGCUCUUACCAUACACUAUAUAAUAUGGAUAGGUAUGAUUGAUAGUUAUGCAAAAUUGUCCUUAUACUGUGAUUUAAACUGUAUCCUUCUCAUGAAAAACUAACUACUGCACUUGGAUAUAUAUACUGAUUGACAAUAUUAUUGUGGUUCGGUGUUGGAUUAUUUUAAUAUGUAUGGUGCAUUUAUAGAGCACCCUGAUUCUCGUAUGUGCCAUACAUUCAUAUUUAGGAAUUACCAGGUUGUUGGAUCUUGUAUAAUCUAGGAAUUGCCUAAAUAAAAUUAUCAGGGGUUGUAUGGAAAAUAGGGUUCGCUGCCAAUAGAAUUAAUUCAAUGAACAGUAGCAUGAACGUAUUUACAAAAACAAUUCGUAGUGCAGAAUUUAGUAACUCUAUAGUUUAUCUUACCGUGUAUGAUGGGUGAAGCCACGAAUCCUGAUUGAAGACGGGAAGAUGAUGAUGAUAACAAGAGCUCGAUGGAGGUGUGCAGUCCUAUUGAAGAUGGCCAAGUUCAGAUCCAAAGGCGAUGUAUUCCAUCCAGUGCCUGUGGCCAGGGAUCGCAGCCAGCCUGUGCGAUCUGUGUGUAGAACGCACCAUGCGGCCAACAAAAUCCUGUUAUAUAGGCAAUGGAAAAAGGCAGGAGGUGAGUCGCAGAAAGAAAAAUUGGCGCCAAUGUGGUUGUUCAGGAAAGGGCGGAGGCGGAGAUGGGCAGUUGCGAUCUAUAUUUGUUAACCGUGUUUGUGGAAAAAUGACUAAUACUCGUUUUCCCACAAACCUGGAAUUCUGGGCUUUUGUGAAACGAGUUUUCUAUAUGCAUGGGUUGGUUGAAGGAGCCAAACAAGAUUUUGUACGGUUAGGCCGUUUUUCUGGCUUAUGGAGAUCCCGAUCUGUAUGUUCCCC